AGUCGAGUGCGCGUGCCGUAGCAAUACGGUAUGGCGCACGGCGCACGGGUGCGUAACACGUGGGCAAUCUGCCCUCCGGUGGGGAAUAACCCCGCGAAAGCGGGGCUAAUUCCGCAUAACAUUCCCUGAACUCUGGUUCGGGGAUUCAAAGCAGCAAUGCGCCGGAGGAGGAGCCCGCGCCCGAUUAGCUAGUUGGCGAGGUGACGGCUCACCAAGGCAAUGAUCGGUAGCUGGUCUGAGAGGAUGGCCAGCCACACUGGAACUGAGACACGGUCCAGACUCCUACGGGAGGCAGCAGUGGGGAAUCUUGCGCAAUGGGCGAAAGCCUGACGCAGCGACGCCGCGUGGGGGAUGAAGCUUCUCGGAGUGUAAACCCCUUUCGACCGGGACGAAUGCCCGCAAGGGAGUGACGGUACCGGUAGAAGAAGCCCCGGCUAACUACGUGCCAGCAGCCGCGGUAAGACGUAGGGGGCCAGCGUUGUUCGGAAUUACUGGGUGUAAAGGGUUCGUAGGCGGUGUGGCAAGUCGGGAGUGAAAUUUCUGGGCUUAACUCAGAAGCUGCUUCCGAAACUGCUGUGCUAGAGUGCGGGAGAGGCGCGUGGAAUUGCAGGUGUAGCGGUGAAAUGCGUAGAUAUCUGCAGGAACACCCGUGGCGAAAGCGGCGCGCUGGACCGUUACUGACGCUGAGGAACG
rnacentral:rRNA from 1 species